GACGAACGCUGGCGGCGUGCUUAACACAUGCAAGUCGAACGGAAAGGCCCUGCUUUUGUGGGGUGCUCGAGUGGCGAACGGGUGAGUAACACGUGAGUAACCUGCCCUUGACUUUGGGAUAACUUCAGGAAACUGGGGCUAAUACCGGAUAGGAGCUCCUGCUGCAUGGUGGGGGUUGGAAAGUUUCGGCGGUUGGGGAUGGACUCGCGGCUUAUCAGCUUGUUGGUGGGGUAGUGGCUUACCAAGGCUUUGACGGGUAGCCGGCCUGAGAGGGUGACCGGCCACAUUGGGACUGAGAUACGGCCCAGACUCCUACGGGAGGCAGCAGUGGGGAAUAUUGCACAAUGGGCGGAAGCCUGAUGCAGCAACGCCGCGUGCGGGAUGACGGCCUUCGGGUUGUAAACCGCUUUCGCCUGUGACGAAGCGUGAGUGACGGUAAUGGGUAAAGAAGCACCGGCUAACUACGUGCCAGCAGCCGCGGUGAUACGUAGGGUGCGAGCGUUGUCCGGAUUUAUUGGGCGUAAAGGGCUCGUAGGUGGUUGAUCGCGUCGGAAGUGUAAUCUUGGGGCUUAACCCUGAGCGUGCUUUCGAUACGGGUUGACUUGAGGAAGGUAGGGGAGAAUGGAAUUCCUGGUGGAGCGGUGGAAUGCGCAGAUAUCAGGAGGAACACCAGUGGCGAAGGCGGUUCUCUGGGCCUUUCCUGACGCUGAGGAGCGAAAGCGUGGGGAGCGAACAGGCUUAGAUACCCUGGUAGUCCACGCUGUAAACGGUGGGUACUAGGUGUGGGGUCCACUCCACGGGUUCCGUGCCGUAGCUAACGCUUUAAGUACCCCGCCUGGGGAGUACGGCCGCAAGGCUAAAACUCAAAGGAAUUGACGGGGCCCCGCACAAGCGGCGGAGCAUGCGGAUUAAUUCGAUGCAACGCGUAGAACCUUACCUGGGUUUGACAUGGAUCGGGAGCGCUCAGAGAUGGGUGUGCCUCUUUUGGGGUCGGUUCACAGGUGGUGCAUGGCUGUCGUCAGCUCGUGUCGUGAGAUGUUGGGUUAAGUCCCGCAACGAGCGCAACCCUUGUUCACUGUUGCCAGCACGUUAUGGUGGGGACUCAGUGGAGACCGCCGGGGUCAACUCGGAGGAAGGUGGGGAUGACGUCAAGUCAUCAUGCCCCUUAUGUCCAGGGCUUCACGCAUGCUACAAUGGCUGGUACAGAGAGUGGCGAGCCUGUGAGGGUGAGCGAAUCUCGGAAAGCCGGUCUCAGUUCGGAUUGGGGUCUGCAACUCGACCUCAUGAAGUCGGAGUCGCUAGUAAUCGCAGAUCAGCAACACUGCGGUGAAUACGUUCCCGGGGCU
rnacentral:rRNA from 1 species